AAGGUAUAUAUCCUAGUGUCUUUGGCUUCUAUCUCAACCUUCAACUGUCCUAUCUGUAUCUCCCUCUGCUCCAACCUCCCUCGUAACUCGGCUAACUCCAUCUGUGCUCGGUGAGCAGCGUCCUUGUACUGCUGUUCUGAAAUCUGGAGAGUACGAUUUCGUGCCUCCGCUUGCUCGGCUCUAACCUUUAAGUCGUCGUUCCUAACUAUCAAAUCUCUUAUCAUCUCACUGUCUGUGUACUCGCUACAGUCCAUCGUCUCUUGGGUCAAGGAAUUACUAUUUUGACUUUCGUCAUCCAUCAUAUGACCACAAUAAACGAGACAACAUUAGUACCGAAAUAAAAUAUAUUCAUCGAUAAAAUGAAGGAAUAUUUUAUUUAGUACGACUAAACUUGAUGGAUCUCUUCGACUCAUCAUAUCCUAUAACUUCUCACCAGAGUACUUCGUCUCUUGAUUCACUGAAUAUCUAUCUUAACUUUCGUC
rnacentral:lncRNA from 1 species